AAGCCAUAUGAUGAACAUGGAUUCUACAUUAUCUCACGACGGUCGUCUGAGGAUUACUGCGAUGUAAUGAUCCAAUGUUUCUGAUGGUU